UACGGGGGGUGCAAGCGUUGUCCGGAUUCAUUGGGUUUAAAGGGUGCGCAGGCGGCUCUGACAGUCGGCGUUGAAAGGUCCGGGCUCAACCCGCGACAGUGGCGCCGAUACUACAGAGCUUGAGUGAGGUAGAGGCAGGCGGAAUUGGUGGUGUAGCGGUGAAAUGCAUAGAUACCACCAGGAACACCGAUAGCGAAGGCAGCUUGCCAUGCCUUAACUGACGCUCAUGCACGAAAGCGUGGGGAUCAAACAGG
rnacentral:rRNA from 1 species